AACGAACGCUGGCGGCAUGCCUAACACAUGCAAGUCGCGCGAGAAAGUCCGCAAGGAUGAGUAAAGCGGCGAACGGGUGAGUAACACGUAGGUAACCUGCCUUACAGUCUGGGACAACCUGUCGAAAGACGGGCUAAUACUGGAUAAGACCACGACUCUUUCGGGAGCAGUGGUAAAAGAUGGCCUCUUCAUGAAAGCUAUCGCUGAAAGAUGGGCCUGCGCACCAUUAGCUAGUUGGUAGGGUAAUGGCCUACCAAGGCUACGAUGGUUAGCUGAUCUUAGAGGAUGAUCAGCCACACUGGAACUGAAACACGGUCCAGACUCCUACGGGAGGCAGCAGUGGGAAUAUUGCGCAAUGGGGAAACCCUGACGCAGCAAUGCCGCGUGAGUGACGAAGGCC
rnacentral:rRNA from 1 species